ACCCGGCUGACGAGUCCCAUAUAUGACGAAACGCGAGUCUCGGAU
rnacentral:hammerhead_ribozyme from 1 species